rnacentral:rRNA from 1 species
CACGUAGGGUGCGAGCGUUGUCCGGAAUUAUUGGGCGUAAAGAGCUCGUAGGCGGUGUGUCGCGUCGGCCGUGAAAACCUGCAGCUUAACUGUGGGCUUGCGGUCGAUACGGGCAUCACUGGAGUUCGGCAGGGGAGACUGGAAUUCCUGGUGUAGCGGUGAAAUGCGCAGAUAUCAGGAGGAACACCGGUGGCGAAGGCGGGGUCUCUGGGGCCGAUACUGACGCUGAGGAGCGAAAGCGUGGGGAGCGAACAGG